CUCGCUUGUGGGAUGGAAAAACACUUUCUGUUUAAAGAGUCGACCGAAAAGGCUUGGCCUCUCUGCUCUUUACAUAAGAAAGUGAAGAAUAACAACAAUGCCCACAGG
rnacentral:pre_miRNA from 1 species